rnacentral:lncRNA from 1 species
GGCGGGCGAAGGUCACAGGCCUUGGGCCAGUGGUGGGACACUGGAGCAGGAAGUCGGCCUGUGGCCGGCCAUGUUCAUGAGGGCGCGUCCCUUGGCACCCCUGUAGCCGCUAUGUUUCCCACGCCCGUGGCAGGCCUGAGAGAUUAUGUUUGCGGGGGGUGCUUUUUUUGUAGCUUCUGUGUUCGCCAUAUUUGAAAGGGGCAGACGGCCAUGUUCGUGAACGGCGCUUCCCUUGGUGCACCUGUGGCCGCCAUGUUUGAGCGAGGACCCCGUGGCAGGCCAGGACCGUUUCUCCGGUGCUAUCCCAGAGCAUGGCGCAUCCACUCAUUCACUCAAGGGAAAGGCCUGAAAGUAAAAUUGUAUCAACAUUAGGUUUGGCUAAUGUUGCCAUUAGGCAAACCUAAUUUUAAUGAAGCCAGGAGGUUCUCGUUUUGGGCCUUGACUGGACAGGUUUGAGCUAGAAACCACUUGAAGUAUUGAUCAUCCAUCUGAUCAUCAAGUUUUUUUUUUUUUUUGAGUUGGAGUCUCACUCUGUUGCUCACGCUGGAGUGCAGUGGCACGAUCUCAGCUCCCUGCAACCUCCACCUCCCGGGUUCUCCUGCCUCAGCCUUCCAAGUAGCUGGGAUUAUAAGCGUGUGCCACCAUGCCUGGCUACUUUUUUAUAUUUUCGGUUGAGAUGGGGUUUCACCGCGUGGCCAGGCUGGUCUCAAACUCCUGACCUCAAGUGAUCCGCCUGCCUCGGCCUCCCAAAGUGCUGGGAUUACAGGCGUGAGCCGCCACUCCCAGCUUGUUCAUCCAGUUUUUAUUGAGCAUCUAUUAUGUGCCGAUAUUGAGGUAGACUCUGGGAGUCACAGCAGUGAAUGCAGCUGCCUGGAUGCCUCGUGAGGGCCGGAGCCUCACUGGGGAGAUGGACAUGAACAGCAAAUGCACAGCGAGGAAAGCCAGGGGUCUGUGCGGGGAUGCUGCAGGACACGAGAACCAGCCAAGACCUAUGGCCCCUGCAGCCACCGAGGGCUCGAGAGCGCCCCUGUGGACUUGGCUGGGCCCUUCAUGGUGACAUCCAGGAAUGCGGCUGAGCGCGGGUGUUGACCUCGCUGUUUGCUGGAAUGUUUGGGUUCUUGGACCAUGUCAGUGACGGCUGUGUCACCAUGGCCUUGCUAUCCCCAGGAAAACCUAACAUGCACCCCGCGCCUGUCCUCUGGGACUCCCAUCCUCCUCCUUUGUCUGACCCCUGAGAGGCUUACCGUUUCCCCAGGGCAGCCCCGGCUGUGGCCCUCGGCCCUGCUCCAGGCGGCCAUGUCAGUGUCCUCCCUCGGCGCUCCCAACACCCUACCUGGCUCUGCGAUGGCCACCCUGGACUCCUAAACACCCCAGAAAGGGAAGAGAUUUAAGAGGAACCUUGAUUCCUGCCAUUCUGCGCAGUCGUGGGUCCCUCCUCCACCUGGGGCCCUCAAGGGGAUUUCUGUCCGCACUCCCAGCCAGCGACCCCUCCCAGUUCCUGCAGCUGGAGCGGCCCUCUCUCCUGAACAUUCGGGCACCUGCGUCUGUCACUGCAGCCAGAGGGCUGGAGUGUCUUCGGUCAACUCGCCAUCCCUGCCACGGCUGGAGGCCACAUGUCCCAGAACCUACCUUGCUGGGAUGGGGGUUGGGGUGGCAGAGGCUGAACGCGUGUGAGGUUUGGGGGAGGACAAGCGGAGCGGGGAUGUGUGGGAGGUCCUGGUGUCCACCGUGAGGAUGGUCACACCCCAUAGCUUUGUUGAUGCUGUGGCUGUAGCAGGCCCAGUGGCUCCGCUGAGCCUCCCUAGCACCAGUGCCCAGUGAAGUGUGGGGGGCUGGACAUAGGUGGCCUCAGUUCCUGGGACUCCCCCAAAGCUCUGGUUUCCCCCCUGCUCCCAGGCUUCAGGUGGACGAGUUAGUGACCACCCCCACUCCAGACCUCCCUCCCCUAGCCACCCCCACAGUUAUAAAAACCUUCAUUCUCAUAUGGAACCCCCUUUCCUGAAAUCCGUAGAGUGACUGACUGCUUUCUUGAGUGAAUCUGGACUGGGCCACAUGAUGAUCGCUGUACAGAGCAGCUGAGCUCCUCUGUCUCAGCCUCCCUGAGUUCACAGCAGGCUCUGGGCAUCAUCUCCGUGUCAUCCUAAGGCCACGGGCGGGGUUCCCACCAAACAGGAGAGCAGCUCUCCCGAGAUGAAGCCUUCUGAUAGCCCUAGAACCAAGAGGAACCGUGUGGGGUUGGGUGGGGUGUUUACUGUGCACUCCUGAUGUUCCCUCCCAGUGAAGGACACCCACCUGGGACACUGUGGCCCCUGGCCCUCCCUCCCUCCCCUCGGUGGCAGAGAGAACUUCCUGGUGGGUGACAGCCCAUGGUCCACCCUUGCCAGGUGGAUUCAGGCAAAAUACGCCAGGCUGUGUGCUGAAGGCAUCCCAUCUCUUCCUCGUCCCCUCUCGGCUGGAUCGGGGUGGGGCAGCGGGUGGUGAGUGUGUCUGUCCUGCCAGUUCAGCCUCCAACUGGUCUGCUGUGGGGCAGGAGCCCACCUGGCUCUCCUGCAGAGCUGCAUGGCCUGCCUUGCCUCACCCGUGACAACAGAGACUUUGGUUCUCCAUCUGCAGACGCAUUUGUCUUGUUUCUUAUUCGGUCCAGAACUCGGGUGGGAAGAAGGGUGAUGUUAUUUGGGUCCCCUCAAGACCUUGACAACAGAUAGUUUUUAAUAUCACAUUUUAAAGCCGCCAACUUUCUCUCCUCCACUUUGGUAUUUCCCUGAUUUUUAAACAGAAUGUCGGCUCUGGAGGCAGAAAGCUUGGGCUUGGAUCUGGGCCCUGCCACGCAGUAGCUAUGUGGCCAGGGAAUACAUAGCUUCCGGAUCUCCGAUCCCUACAGUAAAGUACAGAUAAAAAUACUUUUCAUUGAUGUGUUUGAAAUCGAAUGAGAUAGUUAAUGAAUGAGUAAGUGCUCUGCAAACUCCAGAGCGGGGUGCGCGUUCUGAUCUGUUUCAUAGAAUCUGACACGUACCCUUUCCCACCCCAGCGUCUCUGAAUUGGGAUGCAUCUGACAGCAAGUGUGGCAUCCGGGCUGCAGUUGCCGUUGUCUGCUCACAUGUGAAUUAAAAAAACAAUCUCAGCAUAUGAAAUCUCUAAUCGCGUAUGAACUUGGUGGUUAUUCCUGGUGCCGUGUGGAUAACUGCAGCCUCAACACCCCAGUCCACAAACCACGUACGGACCAACUGAGGAAGGAGUAGGGGUUCUUGUUGUUGCAGAAAACCCUCCCUCAACUUGCUCUAGAAGAUACCAGCAUUCAUACUUGGAGUGGGCAUCAGCAGCUUGGAAGACACAGCAGUGGGCCCCUCUUAGCAGGAGUGCCCCAUCUCAUGGCUCCCGACGACGACCCAGAGGGUGAUGCUGCGUAGGGGCUCACGGACAUUGGCACUCUAAGUCAGAGAUGCUCAGGUGAAGGGGGCUCUGAUGGUGAGGACAUUCAGAAAUAACAGAGAUUGGCUGGGUACGGUGGCUCACACCUGUAAUCCCAGCACUUUGGGAGGGAAGCCGAGGCAGGUGGAUCACUGGAGGUCAGCCUGGCCAACAUGGUGAAACCCCGUCUCUACUAAAAAUACAAAAAUUAGCUGGGCGUGGCGGCAUGUGUCUGUAAUCCCAGUUACUCGGGAGGCUGAGGCAGGAGAAUUGCUUGAACCUGGGAGGCAGAGGUUGCAGUGAGCCAAGAGUGCGCCACUGCACUCCAGCCUGGGCAACAGAGCGAGACUCUUUGUCUCAAAAAAGAAAAAAAAAAGAAACAACAGAGACUUAUUUUACUUAUGUUUUCCUCUUUUCUGUGUGUAUAAUGAGAGAAAUUAGGAUGCCAAAAAAAAAAGAAAAGAAAAGAAAAGAAAAACCAAGGCCUUCUAAGUCUAUAAAAAUUUUUUAAGUAAUUUUUUUUUUUUUUAAGAGACAGGGUCUUGCUCUGUAGCCCAGGCUGGGGUGCAGCAGUGCAAUCCCAGCUCACUGCAGCCUUGAGCUCCUGGGCUCAAAUGAUCCUCCCACGUUGGCCUCCCAAAGCAUAACACAUUUUAAAAUAAAAUUAUAGAUAAUAAGAAAGCAUUGUGUUAAAGUUUAAUUGGCAGCAUUUUAAAUUCUUUCUUACUGAGUUCCAGUUUUAAGCUCAGCUCUGCAGGUAAACAGCGGCACAAACCUGAUUGCAUUGCCUGGUCCCUCUGAGCCUCGGUUCCCUUAUCUGACAGCAGGGCUGUAUCUAUUCUAGCUCUCUGGGUUGCAGGUGAUGAGGAGAAGCAACCCUAAUCGGCUGAAGCCAAAGAAAGGACUUCAGAUCUCGUAACUGCAAAUCCUGGGGUCUAGCCUCAUAACUGCAAAUCCUGGGGUCUAGCCUCCCUCUCUGGUUCUUGUCACCUCCUCGUGGGCUUCAGUCCCAAGUUCCAGAUCGGGGCAAGACAUGGCCGAAGCCCAGGGCCCGCAUCCUCCCAGAUUCCAGCCACCUGGGAGUGUGUCUGUGGUCCCUGGUCUCUGACGAGGUCCUGUGCCCUGCCAUUGGUUCCAGGGGACUGCCGGAGCUGAUGGGUCAGGCCUGCACUGGAGCUGGGUGGAGUUGGCUCCAUCCUGAGGUUACCCCUAUGCCAGAGGGGCAUGGGUGGUUCCCAGGGUAGGGAAAGUGUGUGCUGGGUACCCAGACAUCGAAGCCUACUGUGCCUCCUUCUGUGACAAGGCAUGUGUCAUGUGUUGCUCCAGGAUGGGCAUGUACUCAUAGAUGGGGCUCAACAGGUUGAAUUCUCCUUUCCCUCCUUUCCUCUGGCUUAUGGUCAUCCACUCUUUGGAGCUAGCCAGGCCAAGUUGGAGGAUGCAAAGGUGAAUGGGGACACUGGCAUUCCAAAGGGGACCCGAUAUAGUUUGGCUGUGUCCCCACCCGAAUCUUACCUUGAAUUCCCAUGUGUUGUGGGAGGGACCUGGUGGGAGGUGAUUGAAUCAUGGGGGCAGGUCUUUCCCAUGCUGUUCUCAUGAUAGUGAAUAAGUCUCAUGAGAUCUGAUGGUUUUAUAAGGGGGAGUUUCCCCACAUAAGCUCU